rnacentral:rRNA from 1 species
GAUGAACGCUGGCGGCGUGCCUAAUACAUGCAAGUCGAGCGAACAGACGAGGAGCUUGCUCCUCUGACGUUAGCGGCGGACGGGUGAGUAACACGUGGAUAACCUACCUAUAAGACUGGGAUAACUUCGGGAAACCGGAGCUAAUACCGGAUAAUAUAUUGAACCGCAUGGUUCAAUAGUGAAAGACGGUUUUGCUGUCACUUAUAGAUGGAUCCGCGCCGCAUUAGCUAGUUGGUAAGGUAACGGCUUACCAAGGCAACGAUGCGUAGCCGACCUGAGAGGGUGAUCGGCGACACUGGAACGGAGACACGGUCCAGACUCCUACGGGAGGCAGCAGUAGGGAAUGGUCCGCAAUGGGCGGAAGCCUUACGGAGCAACGCCGCGUGAGUGAUGAAGGUCUUCGGAUCGUAAAACUCUGUUAUUAGGGAAGAACAAAUGUGUAAGUAACUAUGCACGUCUUGACGGUACCUAAUCAGAAAGCCACGGCUAACUACGUG